rnacentral:rRNA from 1 species
CGCCGCGUGAGGGAUGAAGGCCUCUGGGCUGUAAACCUCUUUUCUCAAGGAAGAAGAUCUGACGGUACUUGAGGAAUAAGCCACGGCUAAUUCCGUGCCAGCAGCCGCGGUAAUACGGGAGUGGCAAGCGUUAUCCGGAAUUAUUGGGCGUAAAGCGUCCGCAGGCGGCCCUUCAAGUCUGCUGUUAAAAAGUGGAGCUUAACUCCAUCGUGGCAGUGGAAACUGUUGGGCUAGAGUGUGGUAGGGGCAGAGGGAAUUCCCGGUGUAGCGGUGAAAUGCGUAGUUAUCGGGAAGAACACCAGUGGCGAAGGCGCUCUGCUGGGCCAUAACUGACGCUCAUGGACGAAAUCCA